rnacentral:rRNA from 1 species
UGGCGAACGGGUGAGUAACGCGUGGGGAACCUGCCUCAAAGAGGGGGACAACAGUUGGAAACGACUGCUAAUACCGCAUAAGCCCACGGCUCGGCAUCGAGCAGAGGGAAAAGGAACAAUCCGCUUUGAGAUGGCCUCGCGUCCGAUUAGCUAGUUGGUGAGGUAACGGCCCACCAAGGCGACGAUCGGUAGCCGGACUGAGAGGUUGAACGGCCACAUUGGGACUGAGACACGGCCCAG